AACCAUCAGAAGGGGUGCCUUAACACGACGGGCUGAGAUCAUACCCAUUGAACCUGUUCCGGAUAAUGCCGGCGGAGGGAAGAUGUAACAGAUGUGCG
rfam:Odoribacter laneus CAG:561 genomic scaffold, scf302